AUCCUCUCAGGGUCACACCUAGGGAGUUUUCAAUACUCUACCGGUCUUGACUAUGGGAGGGAGAGUCAAGCAGACAAACCCAUUCCAUUUCUAGCUUGGGCAGCAGCUAGCAAGUGGAAGGCAAUUUGCUACAAGU
rfam:Ornithorhynchus anatinus chromosome 1, whole genome shotgun sequence.